CACUUUACGUUAGCAUCAAGUUAUUCGAUCAACAGGUUGAAAAAUCAACUCCCUUCAAGGUGUGUGGCAGCAGUCAUGCUGAGCUUGAACUGCAAAACAAAAGCCAGGUCGUGGAAGAGUACUCUAAUGUAUCUGCUGACAGAAUGAAGAAAGUAUGUCUCAAUAGCGAAUAGCUGAUGCUGAAAAAUGGCGGCUGAUAUGUUGACUAUUGUCAUUCACUGUUUCGUUGCUUGCAGUUUACCGUUAUCUUUGCUCGCAUCAUCUUCGUUUUUAGAUGACUUAACGAUAAAAACCCCAGAGGUUGUCUGGAUGCUAGUUGGAAAUCACUAUGCAAUAAACUGUGAGCUUACAGGAAACAUUUCAAAGGAAACAGUGAAGAUGUUUUGGGAGACAAAUAAUAAAUCCAUUGCAGAUCUUCUUUCAGCGAAUAUAAAGGAAAUCAGGAUAAGUAGUUCUCAUAUUCAACUGAGAUUUCUCAAUGCAACUUUGGCAGAAGCUGGACACUAUGCUUGCGUAGCUGAGAACCAGUAUGGAAGAAUGCUAAGUUCAACAACGCGUGUAAACAUUGGAAGGUCACCGGAAAAAUUUCAAGAAUACAAAUGCUCAUAUGAUAGGAACAGCAACAUUGUUGAAUUUACCCCAGUUUUACCACAACAUAAUGAUGUAUCAGAGGUAGAUGUGAAAUACUGCCAAAGUCUGUUUAAGAAUAAUUUUUGUCGGAAUAAUGAGAGUGUAUGGAAAAAUGCCACAUGCAGCAACAAAACACUUUCUUGCUUGAUGAAAGUUUCUAGCCUUUCAAGAUACAGCUUGCAGAUAGUCCUCAAAAACCUAUUUGGUAGCACACCUGCUGUUACAAUUCCAUUCAACUACUUUGGAAAAUGCACUGAUCAAAAGCCAGUUAUCAAAAACAUGUAUUUUAUCAACUAUAAAAAGAUCCAAAUUUCAUGGAAAUUGCCACCAGGAUACAUUAUGGCUGUUUUAAAAGUGAACGAAAAUCCAAGUUCUGCUGUAAUUGCCGAGGCUAAUGCUUUUGUCAAUGAAGGAUACAGAAUUAUUGAAGUCGACCUUAAGCCUUGCACAAUAUACACCACUUGCAUCACCUUACUUAAGACACCACAAAUCAAAACAUGCAAAAGUAAACAGACAGAAAUGAGAUAUGAUAUCCCAAUAAUGAAGGAUAUUCAGAUGGCUGACAAUAUCGUCAUGAAGACGAUAGAGAUUCGUUGGAAGGACCCUACUGAAGACACAAAAGGCCCUUUUUAUUACAGAUGCAAAUUGCAUGUUGUCAAGGAGUCUAAAACGGUUGACACAAUAUUGCGUAACACUACUCUUGCCAUGUUAUCUGUUCCAAGGCCACUGGGAACUCAGAUAAUUUUCACUAUUCAGAAGUGCACGAGCUGCGCCUGUGCGUACGGAGUUACAAACAUUUUCCCGCUGUCCAAGAAGCAGAAAUCUUCUCCGCGAGUGGCAAGAGAGCCUAAUGCGCUUAUCAUUCCUUGGGCUGUUGGUGGAGCAGCGCUAUUUCUGGUAGCAAUGGUGCUUGGGUAUUUCUUUUAUAGACGCCGAAGGACCACCAGGACCCCACCAGAAGAUUCCUUUUGCCAAACCGUCACAGAGGAUCCAGGGCAGAUUAUGCCACUCAACCAUCAUUACGAAGAAGUUAUGUAAAGCUGCCUCUCUGGUUGCAAAAAGUAUGUGAUAUUUUAUAAGUUUGCGAACUAACUGUUUUUAAACACUGUUGGAAGACGAGCCAUUAUUGUGUAGAUACCCGUGAUUCAUAAACUCGUCUGUUCAGAACUCCACGGUAUUAAUUUUUGUAGGCUUUGUCGUAGAUGCUUACUGCGAUGUCGAUUAUAACAGAUAACAGAUUAAGUUUUCUUAAGCUUUUAAGACUAUUGCAAGAGCUUCUUGAUAUCUUCGACUAAGCGCUUUAAUAGCAGAGAUUUUACGCUACCCAGUGUGCCAUGUGUUCAGAUGACUUUUUCGAACCAUGUCCUUGUGUUAUUUGAACCAAUUGUCCUGCGUGGCAAGUAAAUUUUCCUGCUUCCCCGUUUCCCCGUUGGAGGGCUGUCUUUGCCCAUUCAUACCUCUGUCCAUUGGCCACAUCUUGUAAUAUUGCAUUUUAAUAUCUUUCCUUUCUGAAAUGCAAAGAUAAUUGAAACCUUUUAAAGAAUUUGAGUUUGUUUUUGGACAGUCAUGCCUUGUCUGCUUCCAAAUUCAUUUUAACAUCUGCAUCGACGAUCGGGUAACAUCGGUAGGCAGUUUUGCUCAAGUGUUUGGAACAAUUUUGAAAUUUCCCCCUCUAUGAAAGGUUUUGGAUUGAUGUACACUUACGUUCAAAAAGUAUUGGGACAAAUAUCGAAAUUUCUUAGACAUUUUACGCAACAAAUUUUGAAAGACUUUUUUAAAAUCUUUCUCAUUAAAAAAGUACGGCCGCUAUUUCCAUGAAAUUUUCACAAUGUAUUUUGAUAUUGUAUGCAAUGUACUUUGUUGAUCAUUAUACUUUGUUAAUACUUUUAAAAUUUCCAUCCUUCCCACUUUGAUUUGAAAACAGCCCCCUGUGCGCUCGUAAACGAAUAAACUUUGCUUCAUGCUACAUCCAUGUUUUACCUUCUCAUAAGUGUUUUUACCUCCUGCAUCAUUGUGCCUUGCGGUGGCAACAUAUCAGAAAGAUUUUUAACAUGCCAAAGCUUGUUUAUUGUUAAUAUCUGUUUAUAUCUCAUGUUCUCGCUUAUUCUUGUAAAUAAUUAGAAAUUAGAUAGGUCUGAAGCAGAUCUUCAGGGUUUGAUAUUUUAAUCUUUAUCCACGCUAUCAUGUUUUUCCAUCCGCUUGAAUCCCACCAGUAGGGCAAAAAUCUUAAUAGACACAAUGGCGGCCUAUAUCAUCGAGAUUUGUAAAUUCCCCUGCAGCUCAUGCAAGGUUCAUUGUUAAUCAACGAAACUCAGAUUUCCAUUCUAAAAGUAUUUUUCUAUAUUCUAAAGAAGUUUUACUGCCAAAAAAUGGAAAAAAAGCCUGUAUCCAUCCACCAUGAGUUUUUCGCUAGUAUAGCACAAUAGAAUUCCAUCCUGGCGUUGCGAACUCGACUUGACCAUUAGCCUUUGAUAGAUGAUUAGUUACUACAGCAACUAAAACCCUAAAGACAUAUAGAGCAAAGCUGGGGUUUGAAGCAUCUGCUUUUCGACAGACGACAGAGAAGAAUUUCUUAAAGGCAAUCAACAGAAACUAGAGGGGGGGUAUGCCCCACAGUUCUGGACGCAAGCAUCUUAUUAACUUCGUUUAUCUCGUGCGAUUUUUAUUUCACUCCUCUUAUUUCUUAUUUUAUUUUUUGUAUUGUGCGUUGUUUAAAUAGUAGUUUUGAGCUAGAGAGAGAAUCAGCAUACUAAGAACAUAAUAAAACUCAUUAUAUUUAACUUAGAAUCGACUGGCAUACUGCACUUUUAGUCAAUGCUUUAAAUUUUUUGUAGUUCAUUGUAAUGAAUGUACUUUUCAAUCAUUUAAGUAUGUUUUCGUGAAAUUGUAUAAUAUCUUAAGCACAUUUUCCUGAAUAUCAAUCUUAGCCCAACUUUAAAAAAAAUGUAUCUUUUUGGCAGCUUCCCAAAUAAUAUGCAUCGAAUACCCAUGAUUUAAGCAAUGGUUUGUUUAGCUAUUAUAUGACUGAAGAAUUUUUUUGCAAAGGAUCAUGGGGGAUAUUUUACGAUAAGGAAAGGUAAGAGGUCACUGAUCGCUGGCGCUAAACUUCCAAUUCAGUACUGGAUGUUGAUUUAAUCUUUUAGCCCCCCCCCCUCCCCAUCCUCUACUUAUUUAUCAGCUUAGUGGUUUCAGAUAUUUCUCCUUCAAAAAAUUCACCUAAAAUGGGCAUAGUGUAUCUGUUGUAAGAAAUUUUUUCGGACAGAAUCAACAGAAUCAACCAGGCUUUAUAAAAAAUACAGUUUAGAGAGUGUUGAUUGGUUAAAGUUUAAGUAAUCCUGUGUUAUUUUCUUAUUUGAGUCCAUGAACAUGGUAGCUUGACUUGCAGUCCUAUACGAGUGAAACAUAUAUAUUUUGUUUAAACUAGAUGCCCUUUCAAAAAGAAUCAAUAAUCUUAUGUUUAAAAUUUUAACUUAUCUUGUAUUGCCUUUUUGAUUUCUCCUAGCUGAAGUUGGUCACCCAUUGCUUUCUUAUCACUCUUGCUUUAUAUGGUAAUUAACAAUUAUGUGUUGAAAGGUAACUUAUCUUUGCAUUUAGUUCUUAUUCAUCCAUAUUUUGUCAAUGGAUACCCUAACUGCAUAUCCGUGAUCCUGAAGCUACGUAGAAAAGACCUAGAUUUACACAAAUCAUUCUAUGAAGUAGAAGCGAAGGAAUCUCGGACCCAAUUUUUUUAGAAACUGGGCCAAGAUGUUUAGUAUAUAUGGAUUAUGUUAGUCAUUUUGCAGAACCAGCCGAUGAUAUAAACUAUGAUAGCUUCAAAGUUUAUCUUGCGAACAUUGUUUUGCCUCCUUGGUGUAUAUAAACUGGAACCAAGAAGUUCAACAGGAUUGAGUUUCGACUUCUGUGGUCUGUUACAAGCCUUUUAAAGACAUUGCUGAACUCAUUUCUGAAAGAUAAUAAUUUGCUAACUAAAGCAGGGAAUUGAUAUGCACCUUGAAGAGCCUGGACCCUCCUCUACUUCAGAACACACGUCCGUAUCGUAUGUACAGAACUUAUCAGAGCCAGAGUGUUCUUUUGAAAUGAACACAAAACAUUUUCACACCUAAAAACGUGGUCUGGUUGAUUCGAUCAAAAUGGCUGUAAAUGAAGUCGAUGUGCGGCCUUUAUGGAGAUUUUUCGAGUUUUAACGAGCCCUAUUGGUUGAUUUUUCUCUCAGAGCACACAUCAUUGUCAUAAUUUUAGACCGCUGAGAGUGCCAUGCGAUAUUUGCGAUUCUACUUGACGACUGUCUCAGAAUCCUCAGAAGCCCCGACGAACUGAGAACAUUUCAAGUAUUUUAAAUUGUAUAAAGAAAAGACAUUCGUUAUUCCUAGGUAUCGUUUUAAUCUUCGUAUAUAAAUCAUUAAUUGUUGCUUAAACUCCCCCCCUCACCUAAGCGUAGCAUCUAAGAUUUUUUCAAGAUAUACCUAUUUAGAUUUUCCCACUGUAUUUCUUCUCAGUUAUUUUGAAUCGCCCCCUAUUUUCAACUGUAUUUCACGUAAAUUUCUUUUGAAUUUGCCCCCGUUUCCUAUUGUAUUUGAAACGAAUAUCUAUUGAAUUUCCCCCCGUUUUCUAUUGUAUUUCACGUAAAUUUCUUUUGAAAUUCCCCCCGUUUUCUAUUGUAUUUCGUCUUGAUUUCUUUUGAUUUACCCCCUGAUUUUCCAUUGUAUUUCGCCUAAAUUUCUUUUGAAUUUCCCCCCGUUUUCUUUUGUAUUUCGCCUAAAUUUCUUUUGAAUUUCCCCCCGUUUUCUUUUGUAUUUCGCCUAAAUUUCUUUUGAAAUUCCCCCCGUUUUCUAUUGUAUUUCGCCU